rnacentral:rRNA from 1 species
ACCGCGAACGGGUGAGUAACACGUGGGUAACCUGCCCCGAUGACCGGGACAACCCGAGGAAACUCGGGCUAAUACCGGAUGUGGUGCCGAGGUUUAAGCCUCUGCACUAAAGGAAGCUUCGGCCUCCGCAUUGGGAGGGGCCCGCGGCCCAUUAGCUAGUUGGUGGGGUAACGGCCCACCAAGGCAACGAUGGGUAGCUGGUCUGAGAGGACGAUCAGCCACACUGGGACUGAGACACGGCCCAG